rnacentral:rRNA from 1 species
GACAGAGGGGGCAAGCGUUGCUCGGAAUUACUGGGCGUAAAGGGCGCGUAGGCGGGAUGGCAAGUCGGUCGUGAAAUCCUUCGGCCCAACCGAAGAACGUCGAUCGAUACUGCUGUUCUAGAGGAUUGCAGAGGAGACUGGAAUUCCCGGUGUAGCGGUGAAAUGUGUAGAGAUCGGGAGGAACACCUGAGGUGAAGACGGGUUGCUGGGCCAACACUGACGCUGAGGCGCGAAAGCCAGGGGAGCAAACGGG